ACUUAAAUUGAAGAGUUUGAUCAUGGCUCAGAUUGAACGCUGGCGGCAGGCCUAACACAUGCAAGUCGAGCGGUAGCACAGAGAGCUUGCUCUCGGGUGACGAGCGGCGGACGGGUGAGUAAUGUCUGGG
rnacentral:rRNA from 2 species